rnacentral:rRNA from 1 species
UUGGGUUAAGUCCCGUAACGAGCGCAACCCUUGUCCUUAGUUACCAGCACGUUAUGGUGGGCACUCUAAGGAGACUGCCGGUGACAAACCGGAGGAAGGUGGGGAUGACGUCAAGUCAUCAUGGCCCUUACGGCCUGGGCUACACACGUGCUACAAUGGUCGGUACAGAGGGUUGCCAAGCCGCGAGGUGGAGCUAAUCCCACAAAACCGAUCGUAGUCCGGAUCGCAGUCUGCAACUCGACUGCGUGAAGUCGGAAUCGCUAGUAAUCGCUGAAUCAGAAUGUCGCGGUGAAUACGUUCCCGGGCCUUGUACACACCGUCCGUCACACCAUGGGAGUGGGUUGCACCAGAAGUUGCUNGUCUAACCUUCGGGAGGACGGUUNCCACGGUGNGAU